rnacentral:rRNA from 1 species
GUCCACGCCCUAAACGAUGUCAACUGGUUGUUGGGUCUUCACUGACUCAGUAACGAAGCUAACGCGUGAAGUUGACCGCCUGGGGAGUACGGCCGCAAGGUUGAAACUCAAAGGAAUUGACGGGGGACCCGCACAAGCGGUGGAUGAUGUGGGUUUAAAUUCGAUGCAACGCGAAAACAUUACCCACCUUUGACAUGUACGGAAUCCUCCAGAGAUGGAGGGGUGCUCGAAAGAGAACCGUAACACAGGUGCUGCAUGGCUGUCGU